AGCGAACGCUGGCGGCAGGCCUAACACAUGCAAGUCGAACGAACUCUUCGGAGUUAGUGGCGGAUGGGUGAGUAACACGUGGGAACGUGCCGUUUGGUUCGGAAUAACUCAGGGAAACGUGUGCUAAUACCGAAUGUGCCCUUCGGGGGAAAGAUUUAUCGCCUUUAGAGCGGCACGGGUCUGAUUACCUAGUUGGGGAGGUACGGCUCACCAAGGCGUCGAUCAGUAGGUGGUGUGAGAGGAUGACCAGCCACCCUGAGACUGAGACACGGCCCAGACUCAUAGACGAGGCGGCAGAGGGGAAUCUUGCGAAACGGGCGAAAGCCUGACGCAGCCAUGGCGCGAGAAUGAUGUAGGUCUUAGGAUAGUGAAAUUCUUUCACCGGGGACGAUAAUGACGGUACCCGAAGAAGAAGCCCCGGCUAACUUCGUG
rnacentral:rRNA from 1 species